rnacentral:rRNA from 1 species
GACGAACGCUGGCGGCGUGCUUAACACAUGCAAGUCGAACGGAAAGGCCCUGCGUUUGUGGGGUGCUCGAGUGGCGAACGGGUGAGUAACACGUGAGUAACCUGCCCUUGACUUUGGGAUAACUUCAGGAAACUGGGGCUAAUACCGGAUAGCAGCUCCUGCUGCAUGGUGGGGGUUGGAAAGUUUCGGCGGUUGGGGAUGGACUCGCGGCUUACCAGCUUGCUGGUGGGGUAGUGGCUUACCAAGGCUUUGACGGGUAGCCGGCAUGAGAGGGUGACCGGCCACAUUGGGACUGAGGUACGGAGCAGAGUCCAACGGGAGGCAGCAGUGGGAAAUAUUGCACAGUGAGCGGACGUCUGAUGCAGCAACGCUGCGUGCGUGAAGACCGCCUUCGGGGUGUAAACCGCUUUCGCCUGUGACGAAGCGUGAGUGACGGUAAUGAGUGAAGAAGCACCGGCUAACUACGUG